rnacentral:sRNA from 1 species
UACAUGAAACUGCCGAAUUCCCCGCACCCGGGAAACGGGGGAACCACAUCAGUCAGGGUGAAUUGAUCCCGCUUCAAAGGGAUCAUAGGGAGCCUUCAACCGAAUCCUUAAGCUAACCUCGCAGGCCUUGGAAGGAGUUAGA